rnacentral:rRNA from 1 species
CUAUAAUGCAAGUCGAGCGAACAGACAAGGAGCUUGCUCCUUUGACGUUAGCGGCGGACGGGUGAGUAACACGUGGGUAACCUACCUAUAAGACUGGGAUAACUUCGGGAAACCGGAGCUAAUACCGGAUAAUAUUUCGAACCGCAUGGUUCGAUAGUGAAAGAUGGUUUUGCUAUCACUUAUAGAUGGACCCGCGCCGUAUUAGCUAGUUGGUAAGGUAACGGCUUACCAAGGCGACGAUACGUAGCCGACCUGAGAGGGUGAUCGGCCACACUGGAACUGAGACACGGUCCAGACUCCUACGGGAGGCAGCAGUAGGGAAUCUUCCGCAAUGGGCGAAAGCCUGACGGAGCAACGCCGCGUGAGUGAUGAAGGUCUUCGGAUCGUAAAACUCUGUUAUUAGGGAAGAACAUACGUGUAAGUAACUGUGCACGUCUUGACGGUACCUAAUCAGAAAGCCACGGCUAACUACGUGCCAGCAGCCGCGGUAAUACGUAGGUGGCAAGCGUUAUCCGGAAUUAUUGGGCGUAAAGCGCGCGUAGGCGGUUUUUUAAGUCUGAUGUGAAAGCCCACGGCUCAACCGUGGAGGGUCAUUGGAAACUGGAAAACUUGAGUGCAGAAGAGGAAAGUGGAAUUCCAUGUGUAGCGGUGAAAUGCGCAGAGAUAUGGAGGAACACCAGUGGCGAAGGCGACUUUCUGGUCUGUAACUGACGCUGAUGUGCGAAAGCGUGGGGAUCAAACAGGAUUAGAUACCCUGGUAGUCCACGCCGUAAACGAUGAGUGCUAAGUGUUA